AGGGCCCCUGCCCUAGGGUUACCGAAUGUCUCCAAACCGUUUUGGUUGUUCUCCUACGAGAGACAAGGAAUUGCUUUAGGAGUGUUGGCACAAAGACUUGGUCCCUACAAACGAGCAGUGGCUUAUUUCUCUAAACAAUUAGAUGAAGUAAGCAAAGGCUGGCCAAGCUGCCUUCGAGCUGUUGCAGCAGUUGUAAUUAAUAUCCAAGAAGCCCGAAAGUUUACUAUGGGCCAGAAAAUAACAGUACUAGUCUCUCACACGGUAUCAGCGGUCCUAGAACAAAAAGGGAGCCAUUGGCUCUCACCCCAAAGGUUUCUGAAAUAUCAAGCAAUAUUGGUAGAACAAGAUGAUAUAGAAAUUGUGGUUACUAAUAUUGUCAAUCCAGCCUCUUUCCUCAGUGGGACUCUAGAUGAGCCAGUGACACAUGAUUGUAUUGAAACCAUGGAAGCCACUUAUUCAAGCCGACCAGACCUUAAGGAAGAACCUUUGGAGGAUGCAGAGGACUCCUGGUAUACAGACGGGAGCAGUUUCCUGCAACAAGGACAACGUAAGGCUGGGUAUGCCAUCACAACAACUCAACAGGUAAUUGAAUCACAACCGUUACCCCCCGGGAACUUCGGCCCAAAAAGCAGAAAUAAUUGCUCUAACUCGGGCAUUAGAGCUAGCAAAAGGGAAGAGGAUAAACAUCUGGACGGACUCUAAAUAUGCGUUUGGUGUAGUACAUGCUCAUGGGGCCAUUUGGAAAGAGCGAGGACUACUGACUGCCCAAGGAAAACAAGUAAAACACGCUGAAGAAAUCCUAAGACUAUUAGAGGCUGUACAACAACCGGAGAGAGUGGCCAUUAUGCAUUGCCGAGGACAUCAGAAAGGAAAUACUGACUCGGAAAUUGGAAAUCGUCUGGCUGAUUAUGAAGCCAGGAGAGUGGCGAAAUCAGGAGAAAAGGUUUUAUCCUUAAUACCAGACGGUAAAAUCCAAACUACUUUUUCAGGACAACCCUUGGAGGAGAAGUGGGAAGGACCUUAUCAAGUCUUACUGACGACUUUCACUGCUAUCAGGAUCAAAGAACAGCCUGCCUGGAUCCACUAUUCGAGAGUGAAGAAAGCACCC